rnacentral:ribozyme from 12 species
AUUUUUUUUAUUUUUUUUAUUUUUUUUUUUUUUUCAUAAAAAACAUUUUUUCCUAGUUUUGAAUUCGUAAGACAAUUACAUAGGGCUAAAGAAUAGAAAGAAGCAAACCAAUUGGGAAAAUGAUGAUAAGGAGAAUAUUGGGAGAAGAAAUUAAAGCAAAACAGCUUCAGAAGUAUUUAGAUUACAUUUCACCACUGUGAUUUGACAGACAACCAUUCAAAACUUCACACUAGAGCUCUUGAAAUGGUAGAAAUUU